AUAGAAAAUUAAAUAUUCUUUACAGGGCUUUCCACCUGAAGGCGUUCCACCAGAAGGCGUUCAUCGUCAAGGAAGGGGCUUUCCACCAGAAGGCGUUCAUCGUCAAGGAAGGCCAUUGAGCAUACAAGUUCCAUUUCAUACAAGUUCACUGGUGGAGAAUGGCUUUCCACCAGAAGGCGUCCAUCGUCAAGGAAGGCCAUUGAGCAUACAAGUUCCAGUUCAAACAAGUUUACUGAUGGAGAAUGCUGUUUUAAGUGACGAUAAUACUAAACUUCGAGAAAAGUUGCGUCAAAUGCAGAACGCUCUAACAAAUUCAAAACUCGAUACGGCUGAGAUGUACUCAAAAUUUGGAGAAUACGCAAACGAUUGGAGCAAUGUGGUAAAGCAUUUGAAAAAAUGCUGCUGCAACAGAAGAACAAUUACGAAGCAAGAAUCAAAAGUUUGGAAGAAAAGAAUGAGCAACUGAUGAAGGAAAACGAA